UACGUAGGGUGCGAGCGUUGUCCGGAAUUACUGGGCGUAAAGAGCUCGUAGGCGGUGUGUCGCGUCGGCCGUGAAAACCUGCAGCUUAACUGUGGGCUUGCGGUCGAUACGGGCAUCACUGGAGUUCGGCAGGGGAGACUGGAAUUCCUGGUGUAGCGGUGAAAUGCGCAGAUAUCAGGAGGAACACCGAUGGCGAAGGCAGGUCUCUGGGCCACUACUGACGCUGAGAGCGAAAGCAUGGGGAGCGAACAGG
rnacentral:rRNA from 1 species